rnacentral:rRNA from 1 species
UAAGCUCAACUACUUUAAACCCUAAAUCCCCUAAAUCAUCAUCAACCCUUAAUUACUACUGAAUUAUAUUAUAUUUAUAUAAAAAUGAUAAUGCUAGAACUAGUAACAAGAAUUAGCCCUUCUCCUAAAUGUAAACUUAAGCCAAAACGGAUAUUCCAUUGGCAAUUACCGCAAAUGCAUUAACUAUAGUACCCUAUACUAGAAAACCCUAUAAACCCCCAAGCGUUAACCUAACACCAGAACAUUACAGGAAAGAUUAAUAGAGGAAGAAGGAACUCGGCAAAUUUCAGUCCCGCCUGUUUACCAAAAACAUCGCCUCUUGCUUAAACAUAAGAGGUCCAGCCUGCCCAGUGAUAUAAUUCAACGGCCGCGGUAUCCUAACCGUGCGAAGGUAGCAUAAUCACUUGUUCUUUAAAUGAGGACUUGUAUCAACGGCAUCACGAGGACUGUACUGUCUCCUUUCUCUAAUCAGUGAAACUGAUCUCCCCGUGAAGAAGCGGGGAUAUAUAUAUAAGACGAGAAGACCCCAUGGAGCUUAAAACAUACACACACCUCUGAAUUACUAAAUCAGUUAAAUAAAGAAAUUUGUGAGUCAGUUUUAGGUUGGGGAGACCACGGAAUAAAACUAAACUUCCAUGACAAACGGGCCAACGCCCUUAUCCAAGAAUUACAAUUCUAAGAAUUAAUAAACUAAUGUCCAAUGAUCCGGCUAGCCGAUCAACGAACCAAGUUACCCUGGGGAUAACAGCGCAAUCUGCUUCAAGAGCCCCUAUCGACAAGCAGGUUUACGACCUCGAUGUUGGAUCAGGGUAUCCUAGUGGUGCAGCCGCUACUAAAGGUUCGUUUGUUCAACGAUUAAAA